rnacentral:rRNA from 1 species
GACGAACGCUGGCGGCGUGCUUAACACAUGCAAGUCGAGCGGAAAGGCCCUUUCGGGGGUACUCGAGCGGCAAACGGGUGAGUAACACGUGAGUAAUCUGCCCUGGACUCUGGGAUAGCCACCGGAAACGGUGAUUAAUACCGGAUAUGACACCUUGCUGCAUGGUGGGGUGUGGAAAGUUUUUUCGGUCCAGGAUGUGCUCGCGGCCUAUCAGCUUGUUGGUGAGGUAAUGGCUCACCAAGGCUUUGACGGGUAGCCGGCCUGAGAGGGUGGCCGGUCACACGGGGACUGAGACACGGCCAAGAGUCCUACGGGAGGCAGCAGUGGGGAAUAUUGGACAAUGGGCGGAAGCCUGAUCCAGCAACGCCGCGUGAGGGAUGACGGCCUUCGGGUUGUAAACCUCUUUCAGUACCGACGAAGCGUGAGUGACGGUAGGUACAGAAGAAGGACCGGCCAACUACGUGCCAGCAGCCGCCGUAACAC